CUUCCAUGAUCUGCGGGCAGAUCAGAUGAACGUGGCAGUCGAUGGCGCCGGCGGUGACGAUGCGGCCGUUGCCGGCGAUGAUCUCCGUCGACGGGCCGACGACCAGGUCGGGAUGGACCCCCGACAUGAUGUCGGGGUUGCCGGCCUUGCCGAUCGCCACGAUGCGGCCGUCGCGAAUCCCGAUGUCGGCCUUGAUGAUUCCCCAGUAAUCGAUGAUCACCGCGCCGGUGAUGACGGUGUCGGGUGCACCUUCGGCGCGGGUGGCCCGGCCUUGGCCCAUGGAUUCCCGCAG
rnacentral:sRNA from 1 species